rfam:Ictidomys tridecemlineatus contig011005, whole genome shotgun sequence.
GGGGCUGGGGCUCAGUGGGAGGGCGCUCACCUUCCACGUGUGAGGCCCUGGGUUCGAGCCUCAGCAGCACAG